rnacentral:sRNA from 1 species
UUUUCUCUCCUUCUCCAAGAUGGCGGCGAUCGGCGGCGUUGAGGCGGGAUCCGGGCGAGCCGAGUGAAGAGCUUUGUUGAGCUAGCUGUUGCCGCAAAACUGCCGGGAGAAUCCCACUGGUUUGCCGUGGGGACCACAAAAAUGGUGGUCCUGGGGGCUGUUUGUGUAAAUCACCUGGUAUUUUGUGUGUUUCUUGCGUGCAACCCGGCUUGGCCGUGCCUUCGUGGUGGGCGCCUUCUCCAUGCAGGCCCAUUUUCCCUCCACCAACUACUACUUGUAGAUUCACUUUAUAGCGUGCAAAAGCGGAGAAACAUCUCUGUCCCCUCUUUCGGAGGGCUAAGCUGGUGGCUGAUUAUAUUUCCUCCUAAUAGAACAAAGUAAAAAACUGAAUCCCAAAUAAAGCCUGUUGAUUGGACAAGGCUUGUCAAAAUUCGAUUGCUGGUCUUAUGGAAUGUGUGUUGUCAGCCAAUCUGUGCGGUGGUCGUGGUUCCGCUUAAUUGCACUGCAAUGAGAGGAUUCAAUCCCCAUCCCAGACUGUCGGGAUCUCUGCAGCUUCCAGAGCUGGCAGGGGCUGG